UACAGAGGGUGCGAGCGUUGUCCGGAAUCACUGGGCGUAAAGGGCGCGUAGGCGGCUCAGUAAGGUUGCGGUGAAAGCCCGGGGCUCAACCCCGGGUCGGCCGUGGCAACUGCUGGGCUGGAGCACUGUAGAGGCAGGUGGAAUUCCGGGUGUAGCGGUGGAAUGCGUAGAGAUCCGGAAGAACACCGGUGGCGAAGGCGGCAUCCUGGACCGAUAUUGACGCUGAUGCGCGAAAGCCAGGGGAGCAAACGGG
rnacentral:rRNA from 1 species